UCUAGCUAUCUAGUUCUCACAUCUUAAAUUAAUCCAUUUCUAUUAAUCUAUACCUUGCCACGUGACUCGUGGCUUACCGGCAUCUUCACAUGCUGCUUGCCAUGGCGGUGGCUGGCAGUGUCUCCCUCUGCCUUCCUGUUCUCUCAAUUCUCCUUUCUGUUAGUCCCACCUAUACUUCCUGCCUGGCCACUGGCCAAUCAGUGUUUUAUUUAUUGACCAAUCAGAGCAACACAUUUGACAUACAGAUCAUCCCACAGCAUAUGUGGAAAAUUGGCUGAUCAUUCCAAAUUGUUUGAGUACUUCACAAUGAUGAACAGUCAAGCAAGCUUGCUCUUUGGAUUGACUUCUUAGGAGUGAGUGUGCCAAGCCAAGGAGCAAGUCCUGCUAUCAUGAAUUCAUGUGAUUGAGCGAAAAUGGAACUUAAUGUGUAGUUUGUAGGACCUCUUCAUCACUUUACAUGAGUGAGCAGCUAAUGAUUUUUGCAGCAAGACAGAUUUGGAGGCAAUGUGACCUCUCAUAACUAUAAAAUUCUGCCCCUGUGUUUUCGGUUUAGUGGACUCAGGUGAUACAUUGUUAUUUAUGGUGCUCUAUGUCCCUUGAGGUUUUUAUAGAGAAAUAGAUAAUAUACACAAUGACCUCCAGUAGGUCAGUGGGGGGUAUGGUACAGAACGUCUUUAUCCGUAUGAGAUUAUAACUUAAUUACAACAUUCCUCCCUUCCCUUUCCUCCCUUCAAAUCCUCCCAUAUACCCCUCCAUGCUCUUUCAAAUUUAUUGCCUCUUUUUUUAAAAAAUUAAUCAUUGUUAUACAAACACACACAUAUACAUAUAUGUAUUGUUACACACAUAUAUUAAAUUAUAUAUAUUAUAUAUUUGAUUUUAUUACAUAUUGCUAAAUACAUAAAUACAAACUGCUCGGUUUGUAUGUUACUCUUAUGUAUAUUUUUAGGUCUGACCAUUUGGUAUUGGACAAACAAUUGUGCUAUUCCCUCGGGAAGGCCACAUCACCUUGCUCCCACCUUGUCUUAGUUGCCUCUUAUUCUUUGUGUAGGAUUGAGGCUUCCCGGGAUUAUCUCCAUCCAGUUUGGCAUGUUCAUUGUCUUGUCCAGUUCACGUGUGGGCAAUCAUAUUGGUGAGACUUUAUGGGGUGUAGCUUCUGUCAUUACUGGGAAACACAAUCUCACUGCAAACUCUGUGAUACUCUGGUUCUUACAAUAUUUCUGACCCCCUUCAGUAAUAUCUCCUGAGCCUUAAGUGCAGGAAUGUUUUGUAGAUGUAUCUACUGGGAUUGGGGUCUACAAGGCUACAUUUCAAUUAGUUGUGAUUUUCUGUAGAGGUCUCUGUUUCAAAGGUAAGUUUCCUCGAUUAGGGGCGAAGACAGACUUUCUGGGUAUCUCAUUUUACCUGUUCAAAAGCAUGCACUACUGGGUUCAAAAGGCAGAUAAAAGAGAACCUUUUCAAAAAUUCUGCUGGGCCUUUGUUGGUGAUUUUUCAGCUUCCUCCCUCCGUCUCUUCUGUUCAGAAGCCUCUAUGUAUGCUAUCUACAUUUCAGUAAUAACGAUUUUUGAGGUCCUUGCUUCAUGACUUCAAAGGAAUAUGUAUGCAUUCCUAGGAUUGGAAUCCUGUAAUCAGCUCACACAACAUUAGCACUGUGCUACAAGCUCUGCCUCGUGAUUUUUUUCUUUUUUUUUAACUAAAAUUUUCAGUAGAUUCAGGGAGUCAUGACAAUUUACAGGUGUAUGAGCAAUCUUUGAGGUGAAAUCAAGAUCAAUAAACUUUUAAAAGUGUUGUAGAUGCUUGCUAAAAGAGCUAUAGAUAUACAGUGAAGGAGAAUAUAAGGAGUCUGGGCAUCCUGGGAGGAACAACUCCUGAAAGGUGUCCUGCUUAAGCUGAGAUUUCAAUAUUCAUGUGAUUAGAUCAAAGUGACUAUUGUGGGGAAACAAUGCUGAACACAGCAGGACCGAUGCAUCGAUCUUAUCAUAAUAUCAAAUGGAAUCUCUUCCCAGAUAACGGUAACAAACAAAAAUAUUAGGGAAAAAAUGGAUCUUGGUAUUUAGGUAACUUCUUUAAAUUCAUCCCUGUGAAAUUUAAUUGAUGGAGAAGUUCAGACUAACUCAGAGCAUGAAUGUUUUGAUCAGGUAUGUGUUCAUAUUGAUAACUAACUAUGGGUCUAUUUCAUAUCUAGAAUCUGGGAAGGUCUUGGUUGCUUUUGUCCCCUAGUUCAGACUCUCAUGAGAUUUCAGUCGACAGGUCUAGGGCUUUACUCACAUUAUGGUUUGUUUGGGAUAGUCAGUUCCCAUGGAUGUUGGUAAAUGCCUCCUUUUCUGUAGGCUAAUGGCAGGGAGCUUAGAUUCCUUAUCAUCUGAUGGCAUGGCACUUCAGUUCCCUGCUCUACAGCAUUCUUGAGAUGUAUGGGUUGGAUUUAAAUUUCUCCCAGCCAAGGCCAUUGGCUGCAAGCUUGGAUUCCAGGUUGAUGACACUGUUGAGCAGUGCUGCUGGAACACUAAGUGGCAGGACCUAGAAUGAGACUUUGAAGUCACUACCAUAUACCUCUCAGUGUGCUGUGGGAUCCCAAUUUUUCCUUGCUUCCUGUCUUGAGCAGAAAGUACUUGCUCCCACAAAUGAUGUGUGACAUCCAUCAGAGGCUGAAGAAAGUCAUGCCACCCAAUACUAAAUUUGAACCUCCAGAAUAAGGAGCUAAAAUAAAGAUCUCUUAGCUUUUUGAUAGGCCUAUCACAAGGUUUGCAUUGUAGUAAUUAUAAAGCUGACUAAAACAGCAAGUGCCCUCAUAAUACAACUGACAAUUACAAAGCAAGCCAGCUGAAUGAGAGAAUCAGCAAAAGCUGCACCCCAUAAAUACAGAGAGUCAGUCACACAAGGUUACAGAGCAGAGAAUCUCAGAGUGUCAUCUUCCAGGAUGGGUACCCCAACAAGGCUGGAACUGGAAGCAUGGAAGAGGGUAUGGCUUUGUUCCAAGAUCAUCUCAAAGAUGAGUGGUUACUUAUGAGACUUGUGAUGGGGAAGGAGACCUGGAUAACAGAAUUGCAUUAGAGGCUUGACAGAAAAGACUUACAAAAUGAAGGUAAAUGAGGAUCUACUAGAAAAAAAAUAUCAAAGAUCUUGGGGAAAAUACCUACAUCUUUAAAAGUCUUCUAAUUCUUAACAUGGCCUGUGGGUUAGUUCACUCUACAAUGUCAUCUCCUAUUUUCCUAAGACCUUUCUCUACUGUGUCCCUUCUCAGACUCCCUUCCAUCUAAUCACAUCUUUAUGAUCCUUAAAAGAAUUCUCAGAGCCUUAAAUGAAUUUUGCUUUUGACUUUACAGAAUUUGUUCCCUCUGUUUGGAAAGUUCGUCCUCAUCUUCCACCAGAGUCUCUAUGUAUGAAGCUAGCAUCAGUCUGUUAGGCCCCUAAUCUUACAAUUAGGUUAUGAAGCAGUUUUUCAUGUAAGAAUAUCUCUGUUCUUUUCAUUAUCUUCAUCAUGGUAGUCAUAUUAUUUCAAUAUUUGUGUUUGGAAUUACUAAUGUUAUUAAUCAAUAGAGUAGUUAUUUUACCUUUGAAGUGCAGUUUAAGCUACAAGCAACAAGCGAAUCAUCUGCCUACCUCAAGUGCCAAGUGAAAUGCCUCAUAAACUAUAGGCACUUAGUUAUUUCUUAACAAGAAAUAAAUAUAGUCAUCCAUAUGACAAAUAAUGGUAAGUUUGAAGUUGAGAAGGAAAAAAACGAGACAGCUUAUUCGGGGCUGAUGUUUGCUACAGAGAAAGGCACUACACUAAAGAAGAGUCAUCAAACGAACACUAAAUUUCCGACUUACAAAUUUGAUAGGUCAAGGAGACAAAGAAAGAUACCAUUAUAAAACGGAGGAACUAACUUCACGAAUUUAUCAAUCAAGAGCCAGCCGUGAGGAUCGAAAGAAGACCGUGCCAAUUUCUUUUUUUUUUUUUCAGGGAUUGUAUCUGUUUUUAUUGAUACUCCGGUCUCUGCACCUGUAAUCGUAUCCAGCAGUCUGUCACCAGUGGCCAUGUUUCCUCUUCAAAAAGCAGCUCUGGAAACACCGCAUGAUGCCAACUUUGCCGAUAGAGGGCGCGAGAGUCACGCUGAAGAAAAAACGGGAUUUUCCUUCUUUCCCUCCUUUGGGCAGCUUUGCUUUGGAAUUAGCCUUCUGGCUUCUGCUGCAUUAUUCCAUCCGUGAUGUGGGCGUGUGGUGAGAACAUGUGGUGGCUUUUUGUCCAGCCACGUAUCCAGAGGACACAGUGACCUCAUAGGCUCAGCUCAAGCCCUGUGACCGCCUUCAGAAAGUUAUAGCCGAGCAUACUGACACUGAAUGCUCCAGGCUUGGCGUCCUCAGCAGCACCCAGACUUCCUCUGUGGACUCGCCUAUGGGCUGGACGCCCGCACCCUGCAGGCUGGCUCAUUUCCUUCCUGUCUGCUGAGUGUGGACCAGCUUCAGCCCAGAAACCUCAGCAGCCCAGUCUGCCAUCCAGGAGCUGCAACCACGCCUUCCCUAACAAGACUCAGGGCUAAUCAAGCAAAGGAUUCUCCUGGCCAAGUUUGUCCUUGCUAUGGGCAAGCCCCGAUGUCCUUUUAACGCCAUUACUACAUCUUUAGAAUUAUUGCUCACAGCUUACUAUUUCUUUAAUAUAGAAUUUCUCCAGUUAAAUUUACUCUGUUGUGUCUGCUUCCUAAUGAGAUCAAGGAUGAGACAUUCGUUUACCAUUUAAAGUACAAGUCUUUUUCAUGGGGACGUUGUUAUGUAUCUCUGAAUUGCGGAGAAUGAAUAAACCAGGGGCCCCUCUUGCGACGUGUAAAUGAGCGUGUGAUUUAAUAAUCAAGGGAACAGAGGGAAGACGUGUCACAAGAGUCACAAUGACCCAUUAGAAGGAAACUACGACAGGGACUUCACUAGAAGAAGGCAUCCCAAUCAGAAUGUUUGGCUUUUCCAUUUCUUCCUAAGCCGAUUGCUUAUAAGGAUCUCCAUUAAAUGAGUUAUCUAGAAAUUACUCAGUAAAGGGACCUAAAAAAAUACAUCUUGCAGUUCUUCUGAAAAACUGUAGAUCCAGGGAAGGGUUAGUAAUGAGCUCAAAGCAAAAAGACCACCGGCUGGCAUUCCAGGGGAAGUUGCCCUCUUCAGAGUGCUUGCCAGUUUUGCUAAUAUAGCUGCUCUGAAAGUGGCUGACUGUCAUUGGAAACAACCAUGCACAGCAUUGAAUACAGAGCUAAGACUGCACCCUGCCUUGUGUAGGACUUUCAAUGUGUGAAUUCCACAGACAGAAAUAAGUCCAAGAAAACGGGUAAUAGUCAAAUGAUACAGUCACUCAAAACUCAACAUCUCACAGAAGUCAACUGCCAUGGUUUGAACAUCUUCAUGUCCAGGUCCACAGGAAAAUAAACUGAUGUCUCCAGCUGAUAUUUAGUUUUCCUGCAUUAUACUGCGGAAUUCAGAAGCAGCUUAACCCUGUAUGGAGCUGACAUUAAUUGUGACCUUCAUAGACAACUUGAUUGGAAGGAUUGUGAAACUGGGCACCCAGGUUACCAGGAAUCUGCAGCAGAGCUGGGUUUGCACAAUUUCAGUCCUUUCUUUCUGCCUAGAGGGCAAAUGAGGAAAAAAAAAAAACAACAGAAAACAAAAGUGUGGAGAACCAGGCGAUUCCCAGCCAAACUGAAUGAGAAAAUUGAAGCAAUUACUGGAAAAUAGAUUUGAAAACCUGUUAUCACUCAAAUUGAAAGGCAUGAAAUGUUCAUUAUUAUCAAUGUUACCAAAUGCUCCUGGUCAUUUACACAGACUUACAGAGAAUUUGAAGAGCAUUGUAAAAUUCCUUCUGAUUGAAAGCAUAGCAGAAACUACAGAUAAUGUAUAACCUAUUCAUAUGUACUGCACACACUAUAAAGUGUUCCCACAAAUAAUUCCUGGUUUUCCUAUUGACUAUGACGUGAGUAUUUCUAUUGCAAUUGGUAUUCUUUAAAAUCCUCAGUAAUAGUAUUUGAAUGGGAUUUCAUGUCCUGGAGGUUAUUUUAUACUUCACUUAUCCAUUUUGAGUUACAUAAUAAUACUUCUGACUCUCUCAUUAUUUUUAUCUCUAUGUUUAUUCAAAAACAUGUAAAGGUUAUGCUUAUUCAAAAAAAGAUAAGAAUAAUUUGCUAUUUUGAAAAUCUUGUGUCAUAACUUUCUAGAGAAUAUAGCAUAUGUACCAGUACUGUGUUUUUACUUCCUUUUGUAAAUUUUAUUUAUCUGUCUUAAACAACAUAAAAAUUACUUUAGGUUUCACUGAAUGAAAACAACUAUUACUGGCUGGGCCAUUCCUGCAUGGAUUUUACCAAAAAAUAAAUGCAAUAAGCUAA